GAUGAACGCUGGCGGCGUGCCUAAUACAUGCAAGUCGAGCGAACGGACGAGAAGCUUGCUUCUCUGAUGUUAGCGGCGGACGGGUGAGUAACACGUGGAUAACCUACCUAUAAGACUGGGAUAACUUCGGGAAACCGGAGCUAAUACCGGAUGAUAUUUUGAACCGCAUGGUUCAAAAGUGAAAGACGGUCUUGCUGUCACUUAUAGAUGGAUCCGCGCUGCACUAGCUAGUUGGUAAGGUAACGGCUUACCAAGGCAACGAUGCAUAGCCGACCUGAGAGGGUGAUCGGCCACACUGGAACUGAGACACAGUCCAGACUCCUACGGGAGGCAGCAGUAGGGAAUCUUCCGCAAUGGGCGAAAGCCUGACGGAGCAACGCCGCGUGAGUGAUGAAGGUCUUCGGAUCGUAAAACUCUGUUAUUAGGGAAGAACAUAUGUGUAAGUAACUGUGCACAUCUUGACGGUACCUAAUCAGAAAGCCACGGCUAACUACGUG
rnacentral:rRNA from 1 species